CGGACGGGUGAGUAAUGUCUGGGAAACUGCCUGAUGGAGGGGGAUAACCACUGGAAACGGUAGCUAAUACCGCAUAACGUCGCAAGACCAAAGAGGGGGACCUUAGGGCCUCUUGCCAUCGGAUGUGCCCAGAUGGGAUUAGCUAGUAGGUGGGGUAACGGCUCACCUAGGCGACGAUCCCUAGCUGGUCUGAGAGGAUGACCAGCCACACUGGAACUGAGACACGGUCCAG
rnacentral:rRNA from 1 species